rnacentral:lncRNA from 1 species
UGAUCUCCAAUCACCAGUCACAAGUAAGAACACUUUUCUCGGAAAUUUUGAAGUUUAGUUCAUUUAAUUCAUGUAAUUACUGUUAAAACGUGUCUCGAAAUCUGUAGAUAAAUAUGGAGCUAAUUAGAAGCUUGGAAGUACCUAAUAUAGGUAUUGAGGAUCAAAACCAAUCAUACAAGAAUAUUGGGAUCGAUAAUGAUCGAACAGUCCCCGAUGGAAGCAAUCAACAUAAUAUAGUUGCAGCUGCAGAGAACGAAAGCUCAAUCUUGCCUUCUAAUUUACAGGACCAUCUAAUAGAUUUUAUAAAUCAAAUGGUGAGUUACUUUUAUAUUGUUCAUCAAAAAACAGGCAUAAAACAUGUUGAAAAAUCUAAUAUUUGCUUGUUCAUUAUGAUCCAGGAAUGGUCCGACUUAUACAACUUAUGCCGCCGUAAAGAUGACGGGCUUUUUCUCGACGAGUUGUUUGACGAGCCGCAAGAACUCGGACCACAAAAUCAAUGUGGUAUUAACCAGCAAGUUGCCGCUGGUGCUGAAAUAGAGUGCACCAAUUUGCCCCCUUUGGAUGUGGCUGAAUCUUCCUACUCGACGGAUUCAGUCCGUAAAAGAUUGGCCAUGGAGGUUGAAGGAUCGGGCACCGGUGUAGAAACUGAAUUGGCUCAACAACAAGCAAAGAGAAGUGAGAACUUUAUUGAUGACGGGUGGACUCAAAGUGAACAAACUAAUCAAUUUAUAACAUCCUAUCCAGUUUUCGACAGUGAGAACUUUAUUGAUGACGGGAAUGAAGUGAUCUCCUAUCACCAGUCACAAGUAAGAACACUUUUCUCGGAAAUCUUUAAAAUACUACACAUUGAGUUUAUGUUUUAUGUAUAUUUCAGGUUCGAGUAGAACUCGGUUCAGAGCCAUUAGUUGAAACUGAAGUAGCUAAUGAGUACGGAUGGACUCAAAGUGAACAAACUAAUGAAUUUAUAACUCCCCGUCCGGUUUUCGACAUUGAUGAUGGGAAUGAAGUGAUCUCCAAUCACCAGUCACAAGUAAGAACACUUUUCUCGGAAAUUUUGAAGUUUAGUUCAUUUAAUUCAUGUAAUUACUGUUAAAACGUGUCUCGAAAUCUGUAGAUAAAUAUGGAGCUAAUUAGAAGCUUGGAAGUACCUAAUAUAGGUAUUGAGGAUCAAAACCAAUCAUACAAGAAUAUUGGGAUCGAUAAUGAUCGAACAGUCCCCGAUGGAAGCAAUCAACAUAAUAUAGUUGCAGCUGCAGAGAACGAAAGCUCAAUCUUGCCUUCUAAUUUACAGGACCAU